rnacentral:rRNA from 1 species
CAGAUGAUGCCUAUCAACUGUUUUAAAAAGAUGGGUUCUGCUAUCACUCUUUGGAUGGGACCUGCGGUGCAUUUAGCUAGUUGGUAGGGUAACGGCCUACCAAGGCGAUGAUGCAUAGCCGAGUUGAGAGACCGAUCGGCCACAUUGGGACUGAGACACGGCCCCAAACUCCUACGGGAGGCAGCAGUAGGGAAUCUUCCACAAUGGACGCAAGUCUGAUGGAGCAACGCCGCGUGAGUGAAGAAGGGUUUCGGCUCGUAAAGCUCUGUUGUUGGUGAAGAAGGACAGGGGUAGUAACUGACCUUUGUUUGACGGUAAUCAAUUAGAAAGUCACGGCUAACUACGUGCCAGCAGCCGCGGUAAU